rnacentral:rRNA from 1 species
GGGUUGUGAGGUUAAGCGACUAAGCGUACACGGUGGAUGCCCUGGCAGUCAGAGGCGAUGAAGGGCGUGCUAAUCUGCGAUAAGCGCCGGUAAGGUGAUAUGAACCGUUAUAACCGGCGAUACCCGAAUGGGGAAACCCAGUGUGACUCGUCACACUAUCAUUAACUGAAUCCAUAGGUUAAUGAGGCGAACCGGGGGAACUGAAACAUCUAAGUACCCCGAGGAAAAGAAAUCAACCGAGAUUCCCCCAGUAGCGGCGAGCGAACGGGGAGGAGCCCAGAGCCUGAAUCAGCAUGUGUGUUAGUGGAAGCGUCUGGAAAGGCGCGCGAUACAGGGUGACAGCCCCGUACACAAAAGCGCAUGUGCUGUGAGCUCGAUGAGUAGGGCGGGACACGUGGUAUCCUGUCUGAAUAUGGGGGGACCAUCCUCCAAGGCUAAAUACUCCUGACUGACCGAUAGUGAACCAGUACCGUGAGGGAAAGGCGAAAAGAACCCCGGCGAGGGGAGUGAAAAAGAACCUGAAACCGUGUACGUACAAGCAGUGGGAGCACAGGUUUACCUGUGUGACUGCGUACCUUUUGUAUAAUGGGUCAGCGACUUAUAUUCUGUAGCAAGGUUAACCGAAUAGGGGAGCCGGAGGGAAACCGAGUCUUAAUUGGGCGUUAAGUUGCAGGGUAUAGACCCGAAACCCGGUGAUCUAGCCAUGGGCAGGUUGAAGGUUGGGUAACACUAACUGGAGGACCGAACCGACUAAUGUUGAAAAAUUAGCGGAUGACCUGUGGCUGGGGGUGAAAGGCCAAUCAAACCGGGAGAUAGCUGGUUCUCCCCGAAAGCUAUUUAGGUAGCGCCUCGUGAAUUCAUCUCCGGGGGUAGAGCACUGUUUCGGCUAGGGGGCCAUCCCGGCUUACCAACCCGAUGCAAACUGCGAAUACCGGAGAAUGUUAUCACGGGAGACACACGGCGGGUGCUAACGUCCGUCGUGAAGAGGGAAACAACCCAGACCGCCAGCUAAGGUCCCAAAGUCAUGGUUAAGUGGGAAACGAUGUGGGAAGGCCCAGACAGCCAGGAUGUUGGCUUAGAAGCAGCCAUCAUUUAAAGAAAGCGUAAUAGCUCACUGGUCGAGUCGGCCUGCGCGGAAGAUGUAACGGGGCUAAACCAUGCACCGAAGCUGCGGCAGCGAACGUAUCACUUAAAGCGAUUCAGCGGGUUACGAUUGACGGAGCGAAGCGACGUCAAAGCGUAUACAAAGUCGAGUCGGUUUAAGGAUACGUUCGUUGGGUAGG